rnacentral:lncRNA from 1 species
ACACCAUGCGAGGUGCACUUCCCACUGAGAGCAAAAGUAAAGGUACCGCCGGUACAAAGCCCGCUGUGCCAAGGUCUGCGAGCUAUUCCUCGUUUUAUCAUGCUCUCUUUGGCUCAGUAUAAGGUUGUUUCUUAUUUUCUGUUGAUGCAAGUGUACUUUCUGUGACUAUUUCACUUUUUUUUUUUUUGGCAGUUGACUGUCACUGAUUCAUGCAUGCUAAUGUGAGGUUCCAUUUAACAUGCAUUGCUAGCACUAAAGAGGUCAUGUUUGAUAAGACAGUGAAUUUCCUCACAGACACCAUGCGAGGUGCACUUCCCACUGAGAGCAAAAGUAAAGGUACCGCCGGUACAAAGCCCGCUGUGCCAAGGUCUGCAUCUCAACCAGGAUGGAGUCAACGGCGUCUGCCAUCAAUGGAUGCUGAAGAUUUUGAGACCAUUCCAUCAAGUGCCGAAGAACUCUCCAUAUCCUCAGAUGGAGAGGAUGAAGGAAAUAACAAAAAUGUAUGUUCUUGGGUCUGCAACAUCUUCAUUCACGUUCUGUCAGCAUAUCUCAUUCGUUUCCUUGCAUAUUUGUAUUGAGGGUAUAAAAAAAAAGUCAAAUAUUCCUUAAAGGGACAGUUCACCCCAAAAUGAAAAUCCUGUCAUUAUUACACUCUAAUGUCAUCCCAAACUAUUCUUCUGCACAGUAGUAACCGCACUUUUUUUUUUCUAAUCUCCAAACCUCUUCAAAAUCUCCAAAAAAACUCACUAUUACAUGUACACAAAUCUAACAUGUAAUUUUCUUAAAUUAAAAACACUUCUUUCCCUCGUGUCAACAAAAAAUAUUCAUGUAGUUCCAACACAACAUGAUUAAAUUAAUUUAAAUUUAACAAAUUUAAGUGGACUGAACAUAAUGGAAAUAAAUUGUAAAAACAAAAUCAAGAAUUUUGUUGUUUCUGCUCAUUUUAACCAAGGGGGUGCCACACAAAAAGUUUUUUUUUCUUUUUCUUCUUUUUUUUUUUUGUUUUUUUUUGGUCGUAAGUGCGCCUCUUGUGACCAUUGUGCGCUCCUACACCCAUAUAUUAAGCAAAGUAAUUUCUGACAGUUAACAUAAUUUUAGUACUGAUCGAUCAUCCAACUGAUUAAAAUAAUGUUAUAAUAAAAUAGACAUAAAUGAAAAAUAAUAAGAUUUGACAACAUGGCAUGUUGGACUAAUUUAAAAACAUUCUGCGUCAUGACGUAAUUAUAAUACAUCAUCAUAGCGAAUUAAUUAUGCAUGGUGCACACAGUUAAAAUAGUUUUGUAUAUUAACAAAUAUAUAUUAAAAUAAAUUAUAUUAUAUUUUUAAUAAUGAGUGCUGGGGGAGUGACUUGUGGGCAUGGUUAGAUUUUCCUUCUUUUUUGUCUCUAGCUGAUCACAUGCCUGAAGGAGGCUUAAUAACAGUUACACAGCUCAAAGUUUGUCAAAACCUCUUUAGCAGUGACUAGACUGGGGAAUUAUAUAUUAUAUAUUGUAUACACACACACACACACACACACACACACACACACACACACACACACACACACACACACACACACACACACACACACACAC